rnacentral:rRNA from 1 species
UACGAAGGGGGCGAGCGUUGUUCGGAUUUACUGGGCGUAAAGGGCGCGCAGGCGGCUCUUCAAGUCAGGCGUGAAAGCCCCGGGCUUAACCUGGGAAUUGCGCUUGGGACUGGAGGGCUUGAGUACGGGAGAGGAGAGUGGAAUUCCCAGUGUAGAGGUGAAAUUCGUAGAUAUUGGGAAGAACACCGGUGGCGAAGGCGGCUCUCUGGACCGUAACUGACGCUGAGGCGCGAAAGCGUGGGGAGCAAACAGG